GCUUGCACUAAUGUUUGUUUGCCAAGCUUUAGUUCAAGCCUCUGUCACCAUUUUUAAGCACAGGGACACUGAUACACAAGACUGCUGGAGUGCAGUAAUUGCCAUGCCCCAGCAGACUCAAUUCAUCGAGUCUGCUCUGACUCACUGUAAUUAUAGCACAUCAGAGCAGCCUCCACGCUCAUGUACAGGCACCCUUAUUUUGGACUCAUGCUUGCCCCCAUUUGACACUGGCCUAGUUUUUUAGCUUAUAAUUGAAAAGACAAUUCAGUAAUAACUAAUAGCAUCCUGCCUUAUCUGUGUUUUCCAAAGAUUUUUAGCAAAGAUUUUUUUGCUAUCACAUCUAGGACAGUCUCCGAGUAUCUGUCCUGGAAGAAGAGAAUUUAAGUGCCUUGCCCAAGGGGAGAUCAUUAAGUGCACAGUAAAGAAUAGGUUCCCACUUUCGUGCUUUAACACCCUCUCUACACUUCACCCAAACCAGUAACAGUAGUCUGUCAAUGCCACUAGCAGCAUCUAGGCACGUUGAUUUUAAACAUUAAAAUAAAAUCUGCUGAUAGAAUCAUGUCUCUUUCUACAAUUGUAUCUGGCUCAUUAAGUUUGCUGGUUGUUUUUUUUACUUUCUACUGCAUCUGAUCUACAGGAGUUGUGCUGUCGGUUUGAAAACUGAUCAACACAAGCUAAGCUCCGGAAAUAUAAACUUUUUCCAGGCAUGCUAUUAUUCUUUUGCUUGAAAAUACUGUUGACUUAAUAAAACACAUCAUCUCUGACCAGUAAAUUCAUUGAGAUUUGCUACAAUUUGCAAGCACUUCUGAGUGAGUUUGUCACAUACUUUUGGUCUGUUGGUACAAACAGUUCUGUCACCUCUAGACAGAUGAAAAGAAGGAGAUUGAAACUAAAGUCCCCGUUAAAGCAGCACCUUAGGCAUAAGUUGUCUUUGCCUGAAAAGCGUAAAAGAAUAAUGAAUUCAGGGUGCCUCUGUAACAGGAGAAUAAAACAACAGACUGGAAAGAGCUUUAUUGAAGGAGCUCCUGUUCUACACAAGAGCUUCUUUAGUAAUAAUAAAAACAACUCUAAAAUACAUGAAGUAUAACUUAUAAGGAAUCAUAAAUGGUUAACAGCAGGAGCUGGAGUGAUGCUUUUUAACAUCCAAGCUACCGUUAUUUCUUCUCUGGUGCUGACUGACAGGCGCUAUGGUGUCCAGAUGCCCUAAGAUGUCAGGAAGUUGUCUGUGUGCAAGGUAAGCUGUCAUGGUUUCUUUGACAGACAGCUGUGCUAGUAACUUCCAGCGCAGCUUCAGGGUAAAUCCUCCCAACUUAACUGGCAUUAUGACAUCCCAUAUAACCAGUUCUCUCCACCUGCAAUUCUUACAUCUAGGCAGAGCAACUUAGAGAAAGAUCUAGAUAUGGAGAGAAUGUGGUAAGGGGGAGGAGGGUACAGAUGAAACAAAUAUGUCAUUAGAUUUAGUCCUUUUAUUUCCAGAGAAAUUCUGUCAGAAAGAUGGCUGGCUGAGAAACGAAGAGGGCAGUUUGAGGAGCUGUGUUCCCUUCCAAGUCAUAUAAAAUGCAGGUUUCCAAAUCGAAAAAUUGCUGGGGAUUUUAUUUUUAGCAAGCAUAAGAUAAGAAAAUAUUUAAGGCAGAGAAUAUAAGACUUUAAUUGCAUGCUCUUUGUCUGAGGGAAGGAAAAAAAUAUUGCAGUGAAUUUAUUAGAGUUUGUAAAAAGAAAAAAAAAAAAAAGACAGAGUAACAGCACUGAAAAGUGAAGUCUUUUAUGCACAGGUUCAGUAUGAGAAGAGGAAAUGCUGCCUUCCCCAUGGUGUUCUGCCAACAUGCUUUAGCGCUAAACUAAGAGACACUGCUAUGAUUAUAAAGGUCAUUUGGUCUCCUAGCCUACAGGUUUUCAACCUGGUGAUUGUGUAUGCAGGGUUUCAAUUGUUCUUUCUUUCCUUACAGCAAAUAAUGGGGAGAUUAGUAGUCUUGCAGACCUUCUUCCUGCUCUAACCCUGGACCACACUUUGGAAACACUUGAGUACCAUCACUCUCCUUAUGACAUCCUCCUUAUAACAUGCCAUCCUCUUUAUAUUCACAAGGACUCCGGGUAUCAAAGCAGUACAUGUGAUAUGGACACAUGUUCACCAGACACUGGACUGAAACAACAGAUUCACCUGAAAAGCUUGGUAUUGGUCUUCAUUAUGUAACAAUGUGGCAACUGGGGUCAUUUGUCUACCUCUCUUGGCACUUACACAAUCCAUGUAAUUGAGUCCUCACAAACAUUCUUGUGAUACUUUGAAGAUAGCCUUUUGAUUUAAAUAAGAACUGAGGCCCAGAGGGAUUGUAAGCAUGUCUUCCAUGUGCAAGACAAUACAGAGAUACCCAAGCUAGCCCUGAGUGAACUAGCUCCUGAUCCAGAAGAAGCACAGCUGUGUUGACAGAGGCCUGUGCCUAGGCUAAUUAGCACUCUGCAAGAUUAUCAUCAGCAUCUCCAGAAAUUACUUAAAAACUUCACUUGAGAAAGGCAUCAGUUCAAUAGUAGAGGCAAUUUUCUGUUUAAUUCACAGAUGGCUUAAAAACAUUAACGAAAUACUAUCAAUUCCUACCAAAUAAACAGCAUAAAGACUUUUUCAGAAGGAAAACAGUAACAAGAACAACACAGGUGUAGACCAACUAACCUGAAUGAAAUCAUCAUUAGGAAAGUAAAAUAUUGUUGGAGUCUCAUUAAAAUUGUGAUUUCCAAGUGUACAAUUUACAAUUGUAAAAUUGUAAUCCCCACUACAAAUUUUUAAUCAGUCAGAAAACAAAUAGCUUCUUAAAACUUACAACAACAAAAAAUAGCACUUUCCAUCUCUUUUCCCUAUUAGGAAGUCUUCCCACCAAUACAUGCAUCACUCAACCAAUAUCAACUAGCUGUAUAGAGGAUAUCAGAAUUCAUAUCACACUAGAGAAACUCUUAUUUAUAAGUUCAUGAAGCCAAAACACAUGGACGUAUUUUGGGUCAUGAUAAGAACCUGGCAUAUUUCUAUCCAGCAUCACCCAGCAAGGAGAGAAUGGGAGAGGUCAGUCCAGCUCCUGAUCUUAGAGUCCCCACAUGGCAAUCAACACGCUUCUGCUACGACACCAGGAGCUACAGUAAGAGAACAGAACUAUCAAGUUGGCACCUCAUCUUUGGCAGUGGACAAUGCUAGAUGCUCCAGAAGUUUGUUAAAAAAUAUAUAGCUAAUGAUCUUGCUAAUCUACUUACUUAAAUUGUAUCCUGCAGAAGUGAGUCGUACUGCAUAAACAUUUUUUUCCAUUUUGUGGGUGUUAGUCAAUACAUGGAGCCAAUCAAGCUAUCCUUCAUGCACAACUAGGGAAUUUGUAUUAUCUUUUUCAGAACUCUCAUCCUGCAGCUGAUUCAGCCCCCACAACAAAACAUUUUAACCUAUCAACAUGAUGUAGAGUAACUUCAGAGCUGCUCUAAGUUGCACUUAUUGUUUUCAAGGGAACUAGCACAAUCUCAUCUGUAUUAAACCCUGUUAAACUUCCUUUCAUUCCACUUUCUUCAGCGUGUGUUUAACUAUUUACUAAAUAAGGGAUGGACUGCAUUAAUUUAAACACAUUCAUAAGUAUUUGACUGAGUCCAGGCCUUAUUUCUUGUUCUAACAUACACUGUCUACAGUAUGCUCCUUCCUCAUAACAGCACACCUCAUGAAAGUUGUCCAUUAACCCACUGCAAAACUCACUUCAGCAGUAGCCCACCUAAAUAUCUACAGACUGACUGAACAGAGAAAAAUGGAUCCAUAUCUCAAAUUCUUAUAAUUCAUUAUAGGAGGAAAAAAACCCAACCCCUUUAAUCCUUAAUUUUACUUUGGGCUAGUGAACUAUUUUCUCAAAUCCAUCCUUCUACUGCCUUAUUUUAAACUUGACCCUCCUGCUUUUGGGCUGUUUUCUUCUUGAGUUAGGGUGUAUAUGCAACAGUCUGAAAUGGUUUGUUCUGUCUGUGCAAACCAUACAAAUUGAUACAAAUUGAUUAAUUUGGACAUUCAGAUUUCAGAUUCUCUUCCACACCUUUGCUGCCCAAAAAAACAAAACUGCUGCAGUCAUUACUCAACACGAGUGGAUUAAUUAUCUUUUAGUAAUAAGACACUAUCUGUUACAUUUUUUUCUAUACAGAACUUUGCAGUAAAUACUCAUAGCAUGUCCACAGUGUUCUCUUCAUGUAAGGAAAGGUUGUAGAUCCUUUAACAAUAUUUGCACCUCUAAACCCAGUCACAAGCAAGUCAAUUCUUGUUUUUCAAGUUAAUUUUUCAGAUGAAUUGCUUUGCACCAACUGCACAGAUUAGAUAUAAUAUCAGGUAUGCAUAUUGAUCAUUACGACUGUGCAUCCCACUCAAAGAUCUAAGCAGUCACCCCAUUUUAAAGAAAGACUUCACUACAAAUGCAAAGGUUCAACUCUAUCCAUGAACCAUCAAUAAAAAUUCCAGGAAGACUGCAUCCAAGUUAAAGAUUCAAAACACCCUACUGCCCAUAAAUCAAAAGCUAUAACCACAGCCUUUGCUCUCCAAAAUUCCUGCCCACAAACUUUACGGCAGGAAAUCUGAAGGCUUUCUAAUGCAGACUCUAUCACUGAGGCUCCACAGAUCUCUUCCAUUUUAUUGUACUAAAUAGAACACCAACACUUUAAACGUUACCCAACAGAAGAGGAGCAUUUGAAUCUCAAUGCAAUCACAGUCCAAAUUUUCCUAACACCUCUUGGGGUUCUUUCUGCAGUUUAUCAGACAGAUUAAUUGACAGUCACAGUGAAGCUGCAUGUUUAAUCUAUUUUUACAGAUUUUAAGAUACAGUAUAGCUUUGACUUACAAAUUAGUUUGGGUCCCAUGUGUCUUAGAGACUGUCAUUCUCUUUCUUCUUUAUCUUAACUGUAGAGAUUAGCGGGGAUGCUCACAGUAUAAUAGUUCCCAGAUCCAGAUGUCAUUCUCAAUAGGAGUUUUUCAACUCUGAAAAACACUCCCCUAUUCCUUCAUUCCCAGGUUUAUUAAUGUUUGGGGUAUGCAGCAACGCUUCACCCAGGCUUUUUCCAGAUGCUGGUUUAAGAGCAGCAUGCGAUUCUGAGAGGCAGGAGAGUUAUUUCAUUUCUGUUAGCGAACAUUCUUUAAUAAAGCUGAGGGAAUAACGUAUAGCAAUAAGGCCGUACUGAGACUCUUUUAUGUAGCUGUGAAAUAGCAAUGAACAGCUUGCAAUUUUCUGAAAGGUAUUUGUGCUUUUCAAAAUGAUUCAGUUAAAACCUCUCUCAUAUAAUUCUUCAUUUGCUGACCAUUUUCAGUUUCUUACACAUCCUCAAUAUUCAGUUAGUUUUUAAUGGGUAUACAGGUCACAUAGCAUUGCUUGUGUCUCAAGAUUAGACAGCAUAACCCACAGAAUCAAGUUUGUUAUGCAGACUAAGUCCAAGUACACACGUUACUCAUAAAUCAGUACAAGUGAUCGGAAGCUGGUCUAUGCCCAUAAUCGAACAGAAGUCCAGUGCACAUAGACUUGUUUAAAAAUGGCAGAACCUAGUCUAAGAUAGACUCGGAUUGAUGUGGUAUCAAACUUAAUCUAUUUAGGUUAGACUGGUCUAUCAAACUUCUGUACCAGAUCCCCUACUGAGUCAGGUCGCUGUCCAUCAGCAUCCCAGGCUGCUUUGCAGCCCCCAGCUAACUUGCCCUCGCAGGGAGAUGUACUGGGACUAGCUCAUGCUUGGCUUCUCUGGCCGAGUGCCUAGCCAGCCCUGCUCUUGGGCUGUCACAGAGCUGAGUCAGCACAGAAUCUCUCCCCAGCCCCACAUCCUGCCUCCAGCCAGAUGUGGGCCACAAGCAGACAGGGGACGGGAGGCAGGGGAGAUUGGGGACUUCUCUUGCAUGGACCCAGCUCACAUUCUCCCAGACCUGAGCCAGCAUAAUCUCUCCCCAGUCCCUCCUCCCGCCCUUAGCCCACUCUCAACUGGAGGUAGACAGAGAGGGUGGGGGACAAGGAUAUUUCUGCCACAUGAGCCAGAAGCCAAUCAGAGGCGGCAGGGCCUCUGGGCUGCUCUCGGCAGUGGUGAGCCUGCUGGGAGGCAUGCGGGAGUGCCCCCAACCAGCUGGUCUCAGCCAGUGCAAACAGCCUGCAUGCCCCUCUCCUUGCUGCCAAAGGGCAAAAGUGCGUUCUGUUCACUUCCAAACUGACCUAGGGUGCUUAGAGUAAAGCGCAUAACUUAGAUCACUUCCACCUUGGGCUUUUUGAAUGUCUGGACCUGGCCUAAGAUUUGCAACCGAACUUCUGAAAUUCACUAUUCCUUAAUAUUUACUUCAGGUUCACUUUUUCUACAGUGCUUCCUAUUUGAAAGGUUGUCCAGCAGAACAUUCAUAAAACAGGAAGACAAAAGCAGUACCGCCAUAAAGCACACUGCAUUUCUUAUUUGACUGAAUAGUCACAAAAACAUUUUUAAAGCCAAGGCAUAUUAUAGGUUGGCUGUUUGUAUUGUAAAUGUGCAUUAAGGUUAACAACAAGGCCCAUCCUCAUAAAGGAAAUUAAUAAAUAAUAACUACAUAAUAUUAUAUGUGUAUGCGUUCUUAUCACCCAAUUCUCUGCAUUUUCAAACAGAGGAUAGUUUCUUGAAUAAUUUAGUUACAAUACAGCCAUUUACAACACUAGAGUUAUUGACAAUCAAAAUACUGGCAGGAAGAGUCUUUUUCUUUCCUGAUGCAGCUGUGGUCAGCAAAGUAGUUUUCAUUUUGGGGAGUAGUUUUUCUGUUUGUAUCAGUCAAAACAAAAAAUGCUUUACAGAAAGGUUGAUGGGUUAUAUUUAUUUAUUUUUUGGUAAAACCUAGUUAUAAGUCUAAUUUUAUGAAAGAGACACCAAUACCUCAUCUCCAAAGCUCCUGGCAAUGUUACUUAACCAUCAGAAAAGAAACUACUGUAAUACCUUUUCUAGCCAGAAAUAUUUUCCAAGGCUAAGGCACAGGUGCAACGGUAUUUUUCUAGCUCCCUAACAAUUAUUUGGAAGCUGUGCUAGGAACUAAUUAGUGAAUACAGACAGUGAAAUGAACAGAAACAUUCUGGAUACAUAUUUGAAUAUGUGGUGGACUUACCAAAUCAGCCUGGCUCAAACGGGUUUGGAAAAUCUUCAUUUCAAUUGGUGCAGCCCAUCCACCAAUCAGGUAAGGGCUGGGUGGGGCUGGCCCCUCCACUUACCCGGACAGAGUGGGCAAAGAGCCUCCUGAACCUGAUUGAAGCCUGCAUGCUGCAGGUCCAGCAAGCCUUCAGAGGUGGAGCCUCUGGAGUGAAUAAAAGGAGCGGCAUGCCCAGCACAUAGCAGAUGCGUCGGGGAACAAAUAAGUAGGCAGGGCUAAGAAAAGCAAGGGAGAGCUGCCUAGCGGGCAGAAGCGGUAGCCCAGAAGAGCCCUGGAAGACCUCCUUGGUGGGACCAGAGCAGCAAGCAGCUUUGGCUACAGCCCCAGCAGUGCACAGAGCAGUGCAUGGGCCAGACCCUGGGAGCUGCGGGAGGCAGCUUGGGUUCCCGGACACCCGACACAUGUGGCAGUGCUUGGAGCCAUCAGACCCUGGAAGCUGCACAUGGUGGCUCAAGUCUGCUACCCUCAGCGUAUGGCCCAGGACUCGGUGCACACGGCAGUGCACAGCAUGCCAAACCCUGGGAGUGGCACCAGGCCGCUUGGGUUUGCAACCCCUCCAUUGGCGUGUGGCCGGGUACCGAGGAGGCACUGGCGGGGUAUGGUGGAAGUCCAGCAGUCCAGGAUUUGGGGCCUGCACAAGGUGGCCCGAGCUCCAACAAAAAGCAGAAGGCAAGGCCUGGGUGUCACUACCCGCACAAGUCAGCCCAAGCCCCAACAGAAGGCAGAAGGCAAGGCCUGGGUGUCAGGACCCACACGAGGCAGCCCAAGCCCCAACAGAAGGCAAGGCCUGGGUGUCAGGACCCGCACGAGGCAGCCCAAGCCCCAACAGAAGGCAAGGCCUGGGUGUCAGGACCCGCACGAGGCAGCCCAAGCCCCAACAAAAGACAGAAGGCAGGGCUCUGGGUGGCCCUGACAAGGCGCCCACAGCUCCAAGAGCCCCUCCUGGCCUGCUUCCCGGAUCCAUGAGUACCCGGGGAAUGGGUACCCACAGGGGUGGAAGCCCUGAAAGGGGGUCCUGAGGGAUCAGGGACCAGGUGAACCCACCUGGGGCUGAGGAGGUAUUAGGACCCUUCUCCCCCUAGAAGGGUGCCAGGGUCUGGCACCCAAGGGGAACGCCCAGUAGUCUCGGCCAUGUGGGUACCUGGAGGGGUAAAGACUUGCGCCUCCUAUUUUGUACAUAGUUAUAUAUAUAUAUAUAUAUAUAUAGAUAGAUAGAUAUAUACGUAUAUUGUUAUCAUCCAAUGUGACCUGGGUUAUGUCAGCAAGUUGAGGUUUAUCUGUAUCUAACUGUUGUUGUUCAUGCCUGAACUUACCUGUUGAUACCUGUGUUUAUCUGCCUAGCUAUACUUUGAUGUUGUUGUUGUAAAUAUUUACCAAUACUUUCUUAUAAAUCUGUGAAUAUUAUCUAUCCAUAUCAGUUGUAUAUUAACAGCUAUCUUUUUAAGGUU